CGUACACUCCUACGGGAGGCAGCAGUGGGGAAUAUUGGACAAUGGGCGCAAGCCUGAUCCAGCCAUGCCGCGUGAGUGAUGAAGGCCCUAGGGUUGUAAAGCUCUUUCACCGGUGAAGAUAAUGACGGUAACCGGAGAAGAAGCCCCGGCUAACUUCGUGCCAGCAGCCGCGGUAAUACGAAGGGGGCUAGCGUUGUUCGGAUUUACUGGGCGUAAAGCGCACGUAGGCGGACUAUUAAGUCAGGGGUGAAAUCCCGGGGCUCAACCCCGGAACUGCCUUUGAUACUGGUAGUCUUGAGUUCGAGAGAGGUGAGUGGAAUUCCGAGUGUAGAGGUGAAAUUCGUAGAUAUUCGGAGGAACACCAGUGGCGAAGGCGGCUCACUGGCUCGAUACUGACGCUGAGGUGCGAAAGCGUGGGGAGCAAACAGGAUUAGAAACCCCUGUAGUCCCAUG
rnacentral:rRNA from 1 species